AUUGAACGCUGGCGGCAGGCCUAACACAUGCAAGUCGAACGAGUGGCGGACGGGUGAGUAAUGUCUGGGAAACUGCCCGAUGGAGGGGGAUAACUACUGGAAACGGUAGCUAAUACCGCAUACCAUCGGAUGUGCCCAGAUGGGAUUAGCUGGUAGGUGGGGUAACGGCUCACCUAGGCGACGAUCCCUAGCUGGUCUGAGAGGUUGACCAGCCACACUGGACCUGAGAAACGUUCCAGACUCCUACGGGAGGCAGCAGUGGGGAAUAUUGCACAAUGGGCGAAAGCCGGAUGCAGCCAUGCGGCGUGUAUGAGGAGGGCCUUCGGGUGGAAAGGUACUUUCAGCGAGGAGGCGGUACUCGCAGAAGAAGCACCGGCUAACUCCGUGCCAGCAGCCGCGGUAAUAC
rnacentral:rRNA from 1 species